ACGGGAGGCAGCAGUGGGGAAUAUUGGACAAUGGGGGAAACCCUGAUCCAGCGACGCCGCGUGAGUGAAGAAGUAUUUCGGUAUGUAAAGCUCUAUCAGCAGGGAAGAUAAUGACGGUACCUGACUAAGAAGCCCCGGCUAACUACGUGCCAGCAGCCGCGGUAAUACGUAGGGGGCAAGCGUUAUCCGGAUUUACUGGGUGUAAAGGGAGUGUAGGUGGUUUGGUAAGUCAGAUGUGAAAGCCCGCGGCUCAACUGCGGGACUGCAUUUGAAACUAUCAAACUAGAGUGCAGGAGAGGAAAGUGGAACUCCUAGUGUAGCGGUGAAAUGCGUAGAUAUUAGGAAGAACACCAGUGGCGAAGGCGGCUUUCUGGACUGUAACUGACACUGAGGCUCGAAAGCGUGGGGAGCAAACAGGAUUAGAUACCCUGGUA
rnacentral:rRNA from 1 species